rnacentral:rRNA from 1 species
UAUCCUACGGGGGGCAGCAGUGAGGAAUAUUGGUCAAUGGGCGGAAGCCUGAACCAGCCAAGUCGCGUGAGGGAAGAAGGCCCUGCGGGUCGCAGACCUCUUUGGACGGGGAGCAAGGCCGCCGACGUGUCGGCGGAAGGAGAGUACCCGUAGAACAAGCAUCGGCUAACUCCGUGCCAGCAGCCGCGGUAAUACGGAGGAUGCGAGCGUUAUCCGGAUUUAUUGGGUUUAAAGGGUGCGCAGGCGGGAGAUCAAGUCAGCGGUAAAAUGUCGGGGCUCAACCCCGGCCGGCCGUUGAAACUGGU